CAGCAGCCGCGGUAAAACAGAGGGUGCGAGCGUUAAUCGGAUUUACUGGGCGUAAAGCGUGCGUAGGCGGCUAAUUGAGUCGGAUGUGAAAUCCCCGAGCUUAACUUGGGAAUUGCAUUCGAUACUGGUUAGCUAGAGUGUGGGAGAGGAUGGUAGAAUUCCAGGUGUAGCGGUGAAAUGCGUAGAGAUCUGGAGGAAUACCGAUGGCGAAGGCAGCCAUCUGGCCUAACACUGACGCUGAGGUACGAAAGCAUGGGGAGCAAACAUGAUUAGAUACCCGAGUAGUCCCUGUCUCUUAUAC
rnacentral:rRNA from 1 species